UCUUCUUUUCUCGUAUAUUCUCUUUUUACUGUCACAUUAUUUACGCUUUACGGAACAAAUCUUUUAUCAAAUUGUAGUAGAGUCUCAAUCAUCUCGUCCCUUGUCCAUCAAUUCCAAUGUAUGGUUCAACUUAGUUUACAGUGAUAUAAUAGAUUUCCAAGGAUAUAUCAUAUGUGUCACCUAACCGAUAAAAUUUUCUUGCGUUCUAGAACAUAGUACUAUUGGAAAACUUCAAUUAUUGAGAAAAAAAUUAUGUUGGCGUAUUCCCUACAUUCGUUGACGCUGUUGCUCAUCUGUUUAAUGACGUCUACGCUGAUCCUCAAUUCCGAAAGGACUGUAAAUGGAAUGCAUCGAGUAUCGUAUUCAAAAAUUGGAAAUGCAGAAAACCCUUCGUUGAAUUUAUAUAGGAGAUGGAACUUCAUCCACCAAGAUAUCAAAACUAAAAGAGCAUUGUCGUUUCUGGCAUAUUGGAAAUCUCCCUCCGAAAAUACUUUUGUACAACCAGUUGCAAGUGAUGUUAACUCAAGACCGGUUGGCUUACCUUUUCGAUGGGGAUAAAUACUUCUAUUUUUUCAUGGCUGAACUUUUAGUUGACUGACGGAUGUGAUUUUAUCCCUACAUUUCUUACAUACGGUAGUUAAUUCGAACAUUUAAUUAUAUGUAUAGUUUUUAUUUAUAUGAGAAAACGAUGAACAAAUUAUAUGAACAGAUCAUUAUAUAGGCUAUAUAUUGAUAUAUAUAUAUAACUUAUAUACAUACAACGAUAGU